AACGAACGCUGGCGGCAUGCCUAACACAUGCAAGUCGAGCGAGACCUUCGGGUCUAGUGGCGCACGGGUGCGUAACGCGUGGGAACCUGCCCUUAGGUUCGGAAUAACUCCCCGAAAGGGGUGCUAAUACCGGAUAAUGUCUUCGGACCAAAGAUUUAUCGCCUUUGGAUGGGCCCGCGUUGGAUUAGCUAGUUGGUAGGGUAAAAGCCUACCAAGGCGACGAUCCAUAGCUGGUCUGAGAGGAUGAUCAGCCACACUGGGACUGAGACACGGCCCAGACUCCUACGGGAGGCAGCAGUGGGGAAUAUUGGACAAUGGGCGAAAGCCUGAUCCAGCAAUGCCGCGUGAGUGAUGAAGGCCUUAGGGUUGUAAAGCUCUUUUACCCGGGAUGAUAAUGACAGUACCGGGAGAAUAAGCUCCGGCUAACUCCGCG
rnacentral:rRNA from 1 species